rnacentral:lncRNA from 1 species
CUAUGAUCAAAUAUUCGGUUUGAUAUGGUCUUUGACUCUUGGGGUACCAUUAAGGAAUAAUUUCAUUUCAUUUCUGGCCUCUGGUUUUUACGAGUUAUGCUCUCUCUCUCUCUCUGAUAAUCUUCCAUUCUUAGGUGAAUGGUAGUUUGGUUUCUUAUACAUUAAUCUCUUUCGAAGGCUGAUUUUACAUUGUGGUGAUGGAUACGUCGACUUUGAGUAAACACUUCAGGUUGGAGAGUUUGGAUGAGGUCUCCUCCCUACUCAAUUUUUCGAAAAGAAGCUCAAUCUUGGACAAGGCGAUUGAAGUUUCUAGUGCAAUCUGGAAACUGAUGCAUUGAUCUUUUUAGUUUUUAUUUAUUUAUUUAUUUAUUUAUUUUGUAUCUCAUAGAAAAUGGGAUGGUUUUUCUUUAUGUUCAAGCUGAAACACACAUAAAUGAUUUGAAAUAUAGGAGUAUAUAGGGAAGGUUAUGAGUGCCGGGGAGAUGAUGGAAAGAAAGGUUUUGGAUGUUUUGAAGAUUGUUAAGGAAGCUGUCAAAGUACAGAUGCCUUUUGUUUUUGAGAUUUACAUGGAGCAAUUGGGACUGUCUUUUUAAAUUUUUGUAGGGAAUGAUUGUUAUUUUUUAUUAUUAUUAUUUUUUGGUAUUAUAUUAUCUGUGAAAGAUGUGAUUAACAACUAACAAGACCAAUGAAUCUAUAUCAUAUCUAAUUUUUUUAAGAUAGUCAUGAAGAUUGUUGGAUUGGUAGAUGAAUGGUCUACUCGCCUCUUUGAUGAUCUUAAUUAUGUUUGUGAGCGGGGAUGAAU